AUGAAACACAAGAUGACCAAGAUAUAUAUACAUCUCUAUUCAUGUCCACUAUUUCCUUUUGAGUACAAAAAAAUGCAGCAUUAUAAUCUCAUAACAAACUCAGCACUCUAUCUUUUCAGCUCAAUUGAGUUUAUAAAUCAUAAACAAGCUAAUGGCCAUAAUUCCCAUAUUUCAACAACAAACUGA